CAAUGAUUUAUGAGCAAAUGUUCAAAUAUCACCCAAAGGUGUCCCAAUGGGGGGGAAGAGAAGCUCAGCCUGUCGACUGAUCCCAGGAGUCAGGAGGUCCUCGGGAUGGUGUAUUCCCUCGGGAUGGUAUCUCCCCUGACAGUGGUAUCUUCCCUGAC